AUGUCUGUUCAAAUUUCUUCCCACCUAACGUGGAAAUCCUUCCUCGGACAUCGCAACACUACACGUAAGGCUGAGAAUAGUACAACCAUGUCCAUGCUGAGAUUCACACAGUUUCUCAUAUCACUUUCAGGUAGUAAAUUGAUUUACGUUUUUUUUUUCCCUAAUUGGCAGCACCAGUUGCCAUUCCUUAUACUCUUAGAUUUUUUUUUUGUUUUUGUUUUUACUGAACUCUUGCAUGAUUUAUCUUGUUACCAUCCUAAAUAAACAUUUAUUAAACAGAAUAAAUUGUCUUUUUUUUUUUUUUGGUGAUUUAGAGUUUUGGAAUAUCCUUUGUCAGGAUGAUUUUUUUCAGUUUUUGAUUGGCAACAAAAGCUCUAUAUAGAGCUGUAAACAUUGUCCACUAAUUAAUUUAAAACUUUCUCUAUUUUGAGGAAAAAUUGGAGUUUUUCCUCCUGAUUUUGCCGUUUUAUUGAUUUGCUACAUUUUUUUGAUUUUAUGCAAAGCUUAUGACUUGGUUUUUCUGUGACGCACCAGACAAUGUUGAAGUGUUGAAUACUAACAGUGCUUACUACAAGGAUAUAGUAUUUUGCUUGCUGCAUUAAAACUAUUUGUGGAAGAAGGGAGCUAGAUGGGUUUUAUUUUUAUCUAGUGUGUCUCCUAACAUCUCUCUGAAUUGGCAGGGUAAUUGCGUAGUUUAACCUCUUUCUCUCUCAUCUUGGUCUCCGCACCCCGUGCCUCAUGGUUUUGCUUUGGUGUAGCCGUUAUGUUUCUAGCAUUCUAGUCUUGGUUUAGUUUCUGUUUUCAUCCUUGGAAGAUUCUGAGAACGCAGACGAAGGGUGGGAAAUUGUCACAGAAGUGGAGCAGACUGCUCGCUGCCCACACUGGGGGUGGGGUAGGAGGCUCACACUGUUUUUGUGCAUGUAAAUCAAACACGAGCUGGGACCAUUUGUGGGAGAGCACAGUGCAGAUGACAAGAAUCUGGGACCUCAGCAGGCUGCCUGGCUUGGGAAGUACCAACGCCUUCUCUCGUCAUUCUGCCCACAUAAAAAUAAAGCCGGCCAAGAUGGGACCACCAUUUUGUGGCCAACCGGGAUGACAUCUUCAUAAAUAGGGUGGCGGCCCCACACACGUAGGAAACAAAGGCCUUGUAUAAUGAGCCUUAUAAAGCACUGUUUCAGAGUCCCUUUCACGUCUCCAAUAAAGUUUAUCAGGUAAUUAUAUUUUUUAUCCAGCUGUUUUAUUUGUGUGUGUGUGUUUUUAAUGAAAGCAUGAGAAAUCCAGCAAAGUUAACAAAUUUGCCCCCUAAGUGAUAAUUCUGUGAAAAGCUGCUGGCUCUUGGCUGCCCACAGACACUAAUCCAUUCCUGUCCAGCUCAGCGACAGUUUCGGAGGAAUGUUUCCUGCUUCCUUACAGUCUGGUCAAGAGGGGAGCAGGCAGAUAGAAGGUGGGGGGAGGAGUAAGGUCACAGGUGGAAGGCCUUGGGAGAAGAUCCAGUCCAGCUUUUCCAAAGAUCUCACGAGGUUAGAUGACUUCCUGGAAAGGCCAGGCAAAGAUUUCCUUUCAAUAGAAACCCUGAGUGAGCACCUGAGCGGCUCAGUUAAGCUUCCAUCUUUGGCUCAGGUCACAAGCCCUA
ensembl:lncRNA